rnacentral:rRNA from 1 species
GACGAACGCUGGCGGCGUGCUUAACACAUGCAAGUCGAGCGGUAAGGCCCUUUCGGGGGUACACGAGCGGCGAACGGGUGAGUAACACGUGGGUGACCUGCCCUCAGCUCUGGGAUAAGCCUGGGAAACCGGGUCUAAUACUGGAUAUGACUCCAUGACGCAUGUUGUGGGGUGGAAAGCCUUGUGCGGCUGAGGAUGGGCCCGCGGCCUAUCAGCUUGUUGGUGGGGUGANGGCCUACCAAGGCGACGACGGGUAGCCGGCCUGAGAGGGCGACCGGCCACACUGGGACUGAGACACGGCCCAGACUCCUACGGGAGGCAGCAGUGGGGAAUCUUGCGCAAUGGGGCGAAAGCCUGACGCAGCGACGCCGCGUGAGGGAUGACGGCCU